CUGCAUCGCACCUCUCUUCCUCACAAGGGCAACACGGCGGCAACGGCGACACGCUCCGAUCAACACUCGAACACCGCCGUCGCUAAUCCUCACGAAUGAACACAACGCGCUCAUCCCAGCCUCCUCUCUCAAUCGUUCUCCAAACCCCUUGUCGAAGCUGAUUUCACUCUGUUCGCCUCUCCGAAUCAUCUCCUCAUAGUUUCACGAUAAUCUCCCUCUGAGUCAAAUCAGUCUUAAUUCUCUCCUCUCUCUUGACUCGAGCCUCCGCCUCAACUCGUUUUAAUCAUCACUCAAAUCGGAUUUGACCGCAACCAGAAUAGACAAGAAUCAAAGCACGGAGUCGUGGCUUAUCAACCGGAGACAAGUCCAUGCCUCUUCGAAUUGAUUGAAGAUGGAGAACAGAAAUCCGCGAAAUUGCCUCAAGAAUUUACAUUUUAGAGAGUGGAGAAGAUUGAAGAUUGUUGACUCGAAGUGUGUGAUUGAAGACGAUGAAGGAAAUUGAAGAGUGGAGUUGAGAAUGAUUUUUCUGUUGAAUUGCGAAUUGCUGAAGGUUCGGUUAAUUUUCUGGUUUCUUUGAUUUCUGUUGAAGUUGUGAAGGAGAUUGAAGCUAUGGUGGUUAUGGAGAGAGUGAUAAGGUGUAGACGAUGAAGAUAGAAAGAUGAAGAUUCAGUUGAAUGAUGGUGAAGAAGAGAGGAUGAAGGUUGGGAUGAAGGUGAUGAAAUGGAAGAGAAGGCUCAGAGAGAGAUGAGGAAUCGUGAAGGAAUCAGAAGAUGGUGAGAAUCCCCCCAAUCUGAGAAGUGCAGAUGAAUAUAUAUGGCGAGAGUUGAUUGAAGAUCCUGUUAUCAAUUGAAAGGGCCGCAUGGAGAUGCACUGGAUGCUUAUUGAUGGCUACACGAUACAGGUGGUGGGGGUCUCAAAGAUGAAGAGAAAAUGAAGACUAACAUAGGGAGUAGAUUUAGGACAAUUUUUGUAAUGCUUAUCUCUAUGUAAAUGGAUAGAUUUAUUGUUAUACUUUUGUAGUGAAUUGGAUAUUUGGAUGAAUGGGAUUUUGUAAAGGGAUUUCUUUUUG